AUGGAACCAGACCAAAAGCUACAAGUGCUACCGGGAAGAGCAACCAACUGUGAGGAAGAGGGAAAAGCAGUCAUGGCGGACGGUGAGAGAAAAGGCUUGGUGUGGAGCAUCAAGAAGAGUCUACUCAUGCUGACGGCCGAUGAACUUUUCCAACUAGCCCAGAGUGUUGGUCCUGUGCCAGGGAAGGAUUCAUCCAAGCUUCAGGUUGGCAAGGAAGAGAGUUGCUUCGAGUACAUUCUAGCUUUUAUGAACAGUGACACUUUGGUGGAAUCUGAGGAUUUAGGUAUGGCAGUGUUGUUAGAGCUUAAUGAUACUGUGAAUAAUGUCAUUCAGAUUCGUUAUGCCCAACCUAAAAAGGGUGCAGGGGAGUAUGUGCACCAUAUAAUGUCAACCUCAUCAGUACUGAGUGAGAGUACGACAGUAGGUCAUCCAGAGUUAGUUACUGAUAACUUGACAACUGAUAACAUGACAGUCUGUGGUUCUAACCCUACCCACACAGCUACAGUUAGCGUAGCUACCCCUUCACCAAUCACUAACCCUCCAUUCACACAUACUGAUGUAAAAACCACACAGAACACUGACACAGAGUUAAAGAGAAUGCUUUCUAGCUAUGCUGAGCUUAGCAACAAAGUCCUACAAUACAUAAACAACCCCACGUCAUCACCUACACUCACACCUGCACCAGUACAAUCUACACUACAACAUAACUAUACUCACACACCUGAACAACAUCCACAUGGAAAAUAUGACCGAGUUGUCCCCCUUCGAGACCUUUCACUGCUUUGUCGUGAGUUCAAUAUUCAAGGUGGACAGAUCAAUGAUCAGAGCUCAGAUUUAAGCUACAAUAGCAUAUGCAGACAAAUUGAUGAAGGUGUUAAAGAACGAUUCAGUGAGACUGAAAUACUCAGAGCCGUUCUCAGAGUCAUUAAAGCGGGAAACUUUAAAGGCAUGCCAAUGCACAAAGAUGAUUUGACCAUAGACGAGCUGAAUUUAAGGCUUUCUGCAAUCCCAUUUAGGUGGGCGGAGCAACACAGAACUUUUCCAAGAACUUAUGUGCACAAAACAAAAUGA
rnacentral:lncRNA from 1 species